rnacentral:rRNA from 1 species
UACGGAGGGAGCUAGCGUUAUUCGGAAUUACUGGGCGUAAAGCGCACGUAGGCGGCUUUGUAAGUUAGAGGUGAAAGCCUGGAGCUCAACUCCAGAACUGCCUUUAAAACUGCAUCGCUUGAAUCCAGGAGAGGUGAGUGGAAUUCCGAGUGUAGAGGUGAAAUUCGUAGAUAUUCGGAAGAACACCAGUGGCGAAGGCGGCUCACUGGACUGGUAUUGACGCUGAGGUGCGAAAGCGUGGGGAGCAAACAGG